rnacentral:rRNA from 1 species
GUAGGUGGCAAGCGUUGUCCGGAAUUAUUGGGCGUAAAUCGCGCGCAGGCGGUUUUUUAAGUCUGAUGUGAAAGCCCACGGCUCAACCGUGGAGGGUCAUUGGAAACUGGAGAACUUGAGUACAGAAGAGGAAAGCGGAAUUCCACGUGUAGCGGUGAAAUGCGUAGAGAUGUGGAGGAACACCAGUGGCGAAGGCGGCUUUCUGGUCUGUAACUGACGCUGAGGCGCGAAAGCGUGGGGAGCAAACAGGGAUUAGAUACCCUGGUAGUCCACGCCGUAAACGAUGAGUGCUAAGUGUUAGGGGGGUUUCCGCCCCCUUAGUGCUGCAGCUAACGCAUUAAGCACUCCGCCUGGGGAUACGGCCGCAAGGCUG